GGUGUGGCUUUGUUGGAGGAAUUGUGUCACUGGGGGUGGGCUUUGAGUUCUCAGAGGCUCGAGCCAGGCCUAGCGGAUCACUGUCUCUUCCUGCUGCCUGCAGAUCC
rnacentral:miRNA from 1 species